rnacentral:lncRNA from 1 species
CACGAUUAUCGACAUAUAGUCGGCUUAUAUUUCCACAAUCACAUAAUGCUGGAAUGUGUAGAACCCACAUGUCUAACCGUUAUAAACGGUUAUCAACUACAUGUCAUAAAUAUUAGUGGGCAUAAACAGCCCAUUAACUCCAUGGUUAUGGACUGAUAAUUAGGGUAAUUGCCCUUUAGUGCCUUAAAAAGUGAGACCAUGUGCUCGACGG